rnacentral:rRNA from 1 species
UACGUAGGGUGCAAGCGUUGUCCGGAAUUAUUGGGCGUAAAGAGCUCGUAGGCGGUCUGUCGCGUCCGCUGUGAAAACUCAGGGCUUAACCCUGAGCUUGCAGUGGGUACGGGCAGACUAGAGUGCGGUAGGGGAGACUGGAAUCCCUGGUGUAGCGGUGAAAUGCGCAGAUAUCAGGAGGAACACCGGUGGCGAAGGCGGGUCUCUGGGCCGUAACUGACGCUGAGGAGCGAAAGCAUGGGGAGCGAACAGG